rnacentral:rRNA from 1 species
GACGAACGCUGGCGGCGUGCUUAACACAUGCAAGUCGAACGAUGAUCAGGAGCUCGCUCCUGUGAUUAGUGGCGAACGGGUGAGUAACACGUGAGUAACCUGCCCCUGACUCUGGGAUAAGCGUUGGAAACGACGUCUAAUACUGGAUACGACUGCCGGCCGCAUGGUCUGGUGGUGGAAAGAUUUUUUGGUUGGGGAUGGACUCGCGGCCUAUCAGCUUGUUGGUGAGGUAAUGGCUCACCAAGGCGACGACGGGUAGCCGGCCUGAGAGGGUGACCGGCCACACUGGGACUGAGACACGGCCCAGACUCCUACGGGAGGCAGCAGUGGGGAAUAUUGCACAAUGGGCGAAAGCCUGAUGCAGCAACGCCGCGUGAGGGAUGACGGCCUUCGGGUUGUAAACCUCUUUUAGUAGGGAAGAAGCGAAAGUGACGGUACCUGCAGAAAAAGCACCGGCUAACUACGUGCCAGCCGCCGCAGUAA